rnacentral:lncRNA from 1 species
CAUCAGGUCUUCUCGAGUAUAGUAAAUUAUAAAUAUAUUUUUAUAAAAUUUAACUUUUAUAAAUUAUUGCUGUAAAAGUUGUAACAUUUUCAGAUAUGUCAUUGCCGUUAGAAUCCGUUAGAAAAAUUUAGUUAACCAUAAGUUAAAUACUUUAUCCUGAUUAAUUUUUGACAUUUUUAUCCCUUUUAUAUUAUACUAUUAUAAUUUUUGGAGAGAUAUAUUUGUGAUCGCAAAAUUAAAAAUAUAAACAUGUUUCUAACGGUUCUCUGACGGCAACAAACCAGAGGAACAUAUAUGAAAAUAUUAGGAUUUUUACUGUAAUAACUUAUGAAAGUUAAACUUUCCAGAAAUAUAUUUAUAGUUCACUAUAUUUGCGGGAACCUGUAUGCAAUUAACUCUUUUUUUAUUAUAUUAAAUUUUUUGGGUAAAUAUAAGAUUGGAAUUAACUCUAAACCUCUUCUGUUUGAAGAUUCGUCAAUUCAAUUCUCUGCAUCCAACUUUUAAGAGGUGUUACCGACCGUCACUAGAGCAAGUGGCAAAGGAUUUAGUGGUUGGUACCCGAGACCCAAGUUCGAAUCCUGGUUGAUUCACAUUUUUAGCUAAGUUUAUUUCUAAAUAAAAUAAACAAAGCGGCUAGCAUGCUACCUAUCUCUAAAAAAA